AUUGAACGCUGGCGGCAUGCUCUACACAUGCAAGUCGAACGGUAACAGGCCGCAAGGUGCUGACGAGUGGCGAACGGGUGAGUAAUGCAUCGGAACGUGCCCAGUCGUGGGGGAUAACUACUCGAAAGAGUAGCUAAUACCGCAUACGAUCUAUGGAUGAAAGCGGGGGACCGUAAGGCCUCGCGCGAUUGGAGCGGCCGAUGUCAGAUUAGGUAGUUGGUGGGGUAAAGGCUCACCAAGCCAACGAUCUGUAGCUGGUCUGAGAGGACGACCAGCCACACUGGGACUGAGACACGGCCCAGACUCCUACGGGAGGCAGCAGUGGGGAAUUUUGGACAAUGGGCGCAAGCCUGAUCCAGCAAUGCCGCGUGCAGGAAGAAGGCCUUCGGGUUGUAAACUGCUUUUGUACGGAACGAAACGGCUCUGGUUAAUACCCGGGGCUAAUGACGGUACCGUAAGGAUAAGCACCGGCUAACUACGUG
rnacentral:rRNA from 1 species